rnacentral:rRNA from 1 species
CUGGACGUAUCACAAGUGCGAAUGCUGACAUAAGUAACGAUAAAACGGGUGAAAAACCCGUUCGCCGGAAGACCAAGGGUUCCUGUCCAACGUUAAUCGGGGCAGGGUGAGUCGGCUCCUAAGGCGAGGCUGAAAAGCGUAGUCGAUGGGAAACAGGUUAAUAUUCCUGUACUUGGUAAAGCUGCGAUGUGGGGACGGAGUAGGUUAGGUUAUCGCACUGUUGGAUAUGUGCGUUUAAGUUGGUAGGUGGGAAGUUUAGGCAAAUCCGGACUUCCUUAACACAGAGAGAUGAUGACGAGGCUCUACGGAGCUGAAGUAACUGAUACCACACUUCCAGGAAAAGCCACUAAGCGAAAGGCUUUACUAAACCGUACUGAAAACCGACACAGGUGGUCAGGUAGAGAAUACUCAGGCGCUUGAGAGAACUCGGGUGAAGGAACUAGGCAAAAUAGCACCGUAACUUCGGGAGAAGGUGCGCCGGCGUAGAUUGUAGUCCCUAGCGGGCGAAGGUUGAACCGGUCGAAGAUACCAGCUGGCUGCAACUGUUUAUUAAAAACACAGCACUCUGCAAACACGAAAGUGGACGUAUAGGGUGUGAUGCCUGCCCGGUGCUGGAAGGUUAAUUGAUGGUGUCAUCGCAAGAGAAGCACCUGAUCGAAGCCCCAGUAAACGGCGGCCGUAACUAUAACGGUCCUAAGGUAGCGAAAUUCCUUGUCGGGUAAGUUCCGACCUGCACGAAUGGCAUAAUGAUGGCCAGGCUGUCUCCACCCGAGACUCAGUGAAAUUGAAAUCGCCGUGAAGAUGCGGUGUACCCGCGGCUAGACGGAAAGACCCCGUGAACCUUUACUAUAGCUUGACACUGAACAUUGAAUUUUGAUGUGUAGGAUAGGUGGGAGCCUUUGAAGCAGUGACGCCAGUCAUUGUGGAGGCGACCUUGAAAUACCACCCUUUAACGUUUGAUGUUCUAACGAAGAUGACGAAACGUGGUCUCGGACAGUGUCUGGUGGGUAGUUUGACUGGGGCGGUCUCCUCCCAAAGCGUAACGGAGGAGCACGAAGGUUUGCUAAUCACGGUCGGACAUCGUGAGGUUAGUGCAAUGGUAUAAGCAAGCUUAACUGCGAGACAGACAAGUCGAGCAGGUACGAAAGUAGGUCAUAGUGAUCCGGUGGUUCUGAAUGGAAGGGCCAUCGCUCAACGGAUAAAAGGUACUCCGGGGAUAACAGGCUGAUACCGCCCAAGAGUUCAUAUCGACGGCGGUGUUUGGCACCUCGAUGUCGGCUCAUCACAUCCUGGGGCUGAAGUAGGUCCCAAGGGUAUGGCUGUUCGCCAUUUAAAGUGGUACGCGAGCUGGGUUUAGAACGUCGUGAGACAGUUCGGUCCCUAUCUGCCGUGGGCGUUGGAUGAUUGAUUGGGGCUGCUCCUAGUACGAGAGGACCGGAGUGGACGCAUCACUGGUGUUCCAGUUGUCUCGCCAGAGGCAUUGCUGGGUAGCUAAAUGCGGAAGAGAUAAGUGCUGAAAGCAUCUAAGCACGAAACUUGCCAAGAGAUGAGUCAUCCCUGACUUUAAGUCAGUAAGGGUUGUUGUAGACUACGACGUAGAUAGGUCAGGUGUGUAAGUGUAGUGAUACAUUGAGCUAACAGAUACUAAUUGCCCGAGAGGCUUAACUAU